AUGAACGCUAGCGCAGGCUUAAUACAUGCAAGUCGUGGGGCAGCGCAGUAGCAAUACGAUGGGCGGCGACCGCAAACGGGUGCGGAACACGUACCAACCUUCCUUCAAGUGGGGAAUAGCCCGGGAAACCGGAUUAAUACCUCGUAUAUUAUGAGGCUGCAUCACCUUAUAUUAUAGCUCGGCGCCUGAAGAUGGCGUGUCGCCUGAUUAGGUAGUUGGCCGGGGUAAAUGGCCACCAAGCCUACGGAUCAGUUAACUGGGUGUGAGAGCACGACCAGUCACACGGGCACUGAGACACGGGGGCCCGACUCCUCCGGGAGGCAGCAGUAAGGAUAUUGGUCAAUGGACGGCAAGUCCUGAACCAGCCAAUGCCGCGUGGAGGAUUGAAGGCCUCUGGAUUGUAACUUCUUUAAUCUGGGAAGAAACCCAACCUUUCUAGGGUGGUUGACGGUAACCCAGAUGAAUAAGCCACGCGGCGAACUCCGUGCCAGGCAGCCCGGUAAUACGGAGGGUGUCAAGCGUUUAUCCGAGAGUCACUGGGUUUAAAGGUUGCGGUAGGUGGAUCGGUAAGUCCGUGGUGAAUCCCGAGCUUAAGCUCCGGGAACUGCCGUGGAUACUAUCGAGUCUUGGAAUGCCGUGGAGGUAAGGCGGAAUAUGGUCAUGUAGCGUGAAAUUCUUAAGGAUAUGACAGAGAACACCGAUAUACGAAGCAGCUUGCUACACGUAAUUGACACUCGGCACGAAAGCGUGGGGAUCAACAGGAUUAGAUCCCUGGUAGGUCCAACGCCUAAACGAUGGAUUACUCGACAUACGCGGAUACACUGUGGUGUGUCUGAGCGAUGGCAUUAAGUAAUCCCACCUGGGAAGUACGACCGCAAGGUUGAAACUCAAGGAAUUGGCGGGGGUCCGCACAAGCGGUGGAGCAUGUGGUUUAAUUCGAUGAUAGCGCGAGGAACCUUACCUGGGCUAGAAUGGCUCGGUGGACUGGGUGAAAGCUCAUCGUUGUAGCAAUACUACCGCCUAUAAGGUGCUGCAUGGCUGUCGCCAGCUCGUGCCGUGAGGUGUUGGGUUAAGUCCCGCAACGAGCGCAACCCCCAUCAUAGUUGCCAUCAGGUAACGCUGGGAACUCUAUGAAACUGCCGUCGUAAGACGCGAGGAAGGAGGGGAUGAUGUCAAGUCACUCAUGGCCUUUAUGCCCAGGGCUACACACGUGCUACAAUGGAGAGUACAAAGGGCAUGCCAAUUGGCUGACAGCUAAUCCAAAAACGCUUCUCAGUUCAGAUUGCAGUCUGCCAACUCGACUGCAUGAAGCUGGAAUCGCUAGUAAUCGUAUAUCAGCAAUGAUACGGUGAAUACAUUCCCGGACCUUGCACACACCGCCCGUCAAGCCAUGGAAGCCGGGUGUACACUAAAGUCGGUAACCGUAAGGAGCCGCCCAGGUAAACUGGUGAACUGGGCU
rnacentral:rRNA from 1 species